UACGUAGGGGGCAAGCGUUGUCCGGAUUUAUUGGGCGUAAAGAGCGUGUAGGCGGCCAGGUAGGUCCGCUGUGAAAACUCGAGGCUCAACCUCGAGAUGUCGGCGGAAACCAUCUGGCUAGAGUCCGGAAGAGGAGAAUGGAAUUCCCGGUGUAGCGGUGAAAUGCGCAGAUAUCGGGAAGAACACCCGUGGCGAAGGCGGUUCUCUGGACAGUUCCUGACGCUGAGGCACGAAGGCCAGGGGAGCAAACGGG
rnacentral:rRNA from 1 species